AUUCAGCUGACGAGUCCCGAAUAGGGCGAAACGCAUGUCGGAU
rnacentral:hammerhead_ribozyme from 1 species